GAUGAACGCUGGCGGCGUGCCUAAUACAUGCAAGUCGAGCGAACAGAUGAGGAGCUUGCUCCUCUGACGUUAGCGGCGGACGGGUGAGUAACACGUGGAUAACCUACCUAUCAGACUGGGAUAACUUCGGGAAACCGGAGCUAAUACCGGAUAAUAUAUUGAACCGCAUGGUUCAAUAGUGAAAGACGGUUUUGCUGUCACUUAUAGCUGGAUUCGGGCCGCAUUAGCUAGUUGGUAAGGUCACGGCUUACCAAGGCAACGAUGCGUAGCCGACCUGAGGGGGGGAUAGGCCACACGAGAAGUGAAACGCGGACCAUACGCCUGAGGGACGCAGCAGAAGGGAAUCGGCCGCAGUGGGCGAAAGUCUGACGGAACAGCGCGGCGUGAGUGAUGAAGGUCUUCGGAGCGUAAAACUCGGUUAUGAGGGAAGAACCAAUGUGGAAGGAACUAUGCACGGCUUGACGGUACCGAAUCAGAAAGCCACGGCUAACUACGUG
rnacentral:rRNA from 1 species